rnacentral:piRNA from 1 species
UCCUCACUUGUGUUUUGUAGUAGGAGCCA